UGUGGAUCUACUGCUCAGGAUGGCCCUGUUCCACCAGGGCAGUCAAUGAGAAAAUUGGAAAGGAACAGGGUCUCUUGGCAUCAGGGGAGCUGCAGCUCUGCCCCUCAAAGUGAAUCUGGAGACUCUACAGCA